rnacentral:tRNA from 1 species
UGGGGUGUGGCUCAGUGGUAGAGCAUCUGCCUAGCAUGUAUGAAGCCCUGGGUAAUAUCCCUAGCACCACAA